rnacentral:rRNA from 1 species
UGGUAGGUGGGGAAGUAAACCAGUCGAAGACUGGCUAAUGCCGCAUACGACCUUUUUUCGUAUUGGAAAUUGGUGAAAGCGGGGGAUCGCAAGACCUCGCGCUAAUAGAUGAGCCGAAGUCGGAUUAGCUAGUUGGUGAGGUAACGGCUCACCAAGGCGACAAUCCGUAGCUGGUCUGAGAGGACGACCAGCCACACUGGGACUGAAACACGGGCCAG